AUUGAACGCUGGCGGCGUGCCUAACACAUGCAAGUCGAGCGGUAACAGGUGUAGCAAUACAUGCUGACGAGCGGCGAACGGGUGAGUAAUGCUUCGGAAUCUACCUUAUGGUGGGGAAUAACUAGCCGAAAGGUUAGCCAAUACCGCAUACGUCCUACGGGAGAAAGCAGGGGAUCGCAAGACCUUGCGCCAAAAGAUGAGCCGAAGUAGGAUUAGCUAGUUGGUAGGGUAACGGCCUACCAAGGCGACGAUCCGUAGCUGGUCCGAGAGGACGACCAGCCACACUGGGACUGAGACACGGCCCAGACUCCUACGGGAGGCAGCAGUGGGGAAUAUUGGACAAUGGGGGAAACCCUGAUCCAGCGACGCCGCGUGUGUGAAGAAGGCCUGCGGGUUGUAAAGCACUUUUAGUGGGGAUGAAAUGUGCAGGGUUAAUACCUCUGCAUUUUGACCUAACCCACAGAAAAAGCACCGGCUAACUCUGUGCCAGCCGCCGCAGUAA
rnacentral:rRNA from 1 species